rnacentral:rRNA from 1 species
CCUACGGGUGGCAGCAGUGGGGAAUAUUGCACAAUGGGGGAAACCCUGAUGCAGCGACGCCGCGUGAGUGAAGAAGUAUUUCGGUCCGUAAAGCUCUAUCAACAGGGAAGAAAAUGACGUUACCUGACUAAGACGACCCGGCUAACUACGUGACAGCCGCCGCGGUAAUCCGUAGGGGGCAAGCGUUAACCGGAUUUAAUGGGGUUAACGGGAGCGUAGAAGGCAGCGCAAGUCUGAAGUGAAAUCCCAUGGCUUAACCAUGGAACUGCUUUGGAAAAUGUGCAGCUGGAGUGCAGGAGAGGUAAGCGGAAUUCCUAGUGUAGCGGUGAAAUGCGUAGAUAUUAGGAGGAACACCAGUGGCGAAGGCGGCUUACUGGACUGUAACUGACGUUGAGGCUCGAAAGCGUGGGUAGCAAACAGGAUUAGAUACCCCAGUAGUC